rfam:Arabidopsis lyrata subsp. lyrata unplaced genomic scaffold ARALYscaffold_2, whole genome shotgun sequence.
UCACUUGAGAUGAAGAUUUGGAUGACAAAUACUUAAAACUUUGGUAAAUUUAAAUUACCAAUUUAAUUAUCUGUCACCCAAAUCUUCCUCUCAGGUUU